UACGGAGGGUGCAAGCGUUAUCCGGAUUCACUGGGUUUAAAGGGUGCGUAGGCGGACAGGUAAGUCAGUGGUGAAAUCUCUGGGCUUAACCCAGAAACUGCCGUUGAUACUAUUUGUCUUGAAUAUCCUGGAGGUAGGCGGAAUAUGUCAUGUAGCGGUGAAAUGCUUAGAUAUGACAUAGAACACCAAUUGCGAAGGCAGCUUGCUACACAGUUAUUGACGCUGAGGCACGAAAGCGUGGGGAUCAAACAGG
rnacentral:rRNA from 1 species